GACGAACGCUGGCGGCGUGCUUAACACAUGCAAGUCGAACGAUGAAGCCGGAGCUUGCUCUGGUGAAUUAGUGGCGAACGGGUGAGUAACACGUGAGUAACCUGCCCUUGACUCUGGGAUAACUGCUAGAAAUGGUAGCUAAUACCGGAUACGACCCUCGGAGGCAUCUCCAGGGGGUGGAAAGAAUUUCGGUCAAGGAUGGACCCGCGGCCUAUCAGCUAGUUGGUGAGGUAACGGCUCACCAAGGGGACGACGGAUAGCCGGCCGGAGAGGGUGACCGGACACACUGAGACUGAGACACGGCCCAGACUCCUACGGGAGGCAGCAGUGGGGAAUAUUGCACAAUGGGCGCAAGCCUGAUGCAGCAACGCCGCGUGAGGGAUGACGGCCUUCGGGUUGUAAACCUCUUUUAGUAGGGAAGAAGCGAAAGUGACGGUACCUGCAGAAAAAGCACCGGCUAACUACGUGCCAGCCGCCGCAGUAA
rnacentral:rRNA from 1 species